rnacentral:rRNA from 1 species
GACGGAGGGGGCAAGCGUUGUUCGGAAUUAUUGGGCGUAAAGGGCUCGUAGGCGGAUCCGCCAGUCUGACGUGAAAUCUCCACCGCUCACCGGGGAGGGGCCGUUGGAUACUACGGAUCUGGAGUUCGGCAGAGGACCAUGGAAUUUCGGGUGUAGCGGUGGAAUGCGUAGAUAUCAAGUGGAACACCAGUGGCGAAGGCGAAUCCCUGGAAAAUACCUGACACUGAGGCACGAAAGCUAGGGGAGCAAACAGG